rnacentral:rRNA from 1 species
AAUCUUCCGCAAUGGACGAAAGUCUGACGGAGCAACGCCGCGUGAGCGAUGAAGGCCUUCGGGUCGUAAAGCUCUGUUGUUAGGGAAGAACAAGUGCCGAGUAACUAUCGGCACCUUGACGGUACCUAACCAGAAAGCCACGGCUAACCACGUGCCAGCAGCCGCGGUAAUACGUAGGUGGCAAGCGUUGUCCGGAAUUAUUGGGCGUAAAGCGCGCGCAGGCGGUUCUUUAAGUCUGAUGUGAAAGCCCCCGGCUCAACCGGGGAGGGUCAUUGGAAACUGGGGAACUUGAGUGCAGAAGAGGAGAGCGGAAUUCCACGUGUAGCGGUGAAAUGCGUAGAGAUGUGGAGGAACACCAGUGGCGAAGGCGGCUCUCUGGUCUGUAACUGACGCUGAGGCGCGAAAGCGUGGGGAGCAAACAGG